rnacentral:rRNA from 1 species
CCUACGGGCGGCUGCAGUGGGGAAUAUUGCACAAUGGGCGCAAGCCUGAUGCAGCCAUGCCGCGUGUGUGAAGAAGGCCUUCGGGUUGUAAAGCACUUUCAGCGGGGAGGAAGGCGUUAAGGUUAAUAACCUUGUCGAUUGACGUUACCCGCAGAAGAAGCACCGGCUAACUCCGUGCCAGCAGCCGCGGUAAUACGGAGGGUGCAAGCGUUAAUCGGAAUUACUGGGCGUAAAGCGCACGCAGGCGGUCUGUCAAGUCGGAUGUGAAAUCCCCGGGCUCAACCUGGGAACUGCAUUCGAAACUGGCAGGCUAGAGUCUUGGAGAGGGGGGUAGAAUUCCCGGUGUAGCGGUGAAAUGCGUAGAGAUCUGGAGGAAUACCGGUGGCGAAGGCGGCCCCCUGGACAAAGACUGACGCUCAGGUGCGAAAGCGUGGGGGGCAAACAGGAUUAGAUACCCUUGUAGUC